rnacentral:rRNA from 1 species
CCUACGGGGGGCUGCAGUGGGGAAUAUUGGACAAUGGGGGGAACCCUGAUCCAGCCAUGCCGCGUGUGUGAAGAUGGCCCUCGGGUUGUAAAGCACUUUCAGUGAGGAAGAACGCCUGGUGGUUAAUACCCAUCAGGAAAGACAUCACUCACAGAAGAAGCACCGGCUAACUCCGUGCCAGCAGCCGCGGUAAUACGGAGGGUGCGAGCGUUAAUCGGAAUUACUGGGCGUAAAGCGCGCGUAGGUGGCUUGAUAAGCCGGUUGUGAAAGCCCCGGGCUCAACCUGGGAACGGCAUCCGGAGCUGUCAAGCUAGAGUGCAGGAGAGGAAGGUAGAAUUCCCGGUGUAGCGGUGAAAUGCGUAGAGAUCGGGAGGAAUACCAGUGGCGAAGGCGGCCUUCUGGACUGACACUGACACUGAGGUGCGAAAGCGUGGGUAGCAAACAGGAUUAGAUACCCUGGUAGUC